CUACCUUUCCGGGGCAGGGUGCAACUCCCGACCGGCGGUGAUGGGCAGCAGCCCUCAGUCCGUGACCCGCAUAUAUGCGGUGGAUCCGGUGUAAUUCCGGAGCCGACAGUGAAAGUCUGGAUGGGAGGAAAGGACG
rnacentral:ncRNA from 1 species